rnacentral:rRNA from 1 species
CCCUUAGAUGUCCUGGGCCGCACGCGCGCUACACUGACGGAGCCAGCGAGCGUGUCCUUCGCCGAAAGGUGCGGGUAAUCUUGGCAGCCUCCGUCGUGCUGGGGAUAGAUGGUUGCAAUUAUUGAUCUUGAACGAGGAAUUCCUAGUAAGCGCGAGUCACCAGCUCGCGUUGAUUACGUCCCUGCCCUUUGUACACACCGCCCGUCGCUACUACCGAUUGGAUGGAUUACUGAGAUCUCUGGAUCUCUGCCGGCGCGGUCCUCACGGGCCGCGUUGGAUAGGGAGAAGUUGCUCUAAGUACUCUAUCUAGAGGAAGUAAAANUCGUANCA